UACGGGGGGAGCAAGCGUUGUUCGGAUUUACUGGGCGUAAAGGGCGCGUAGGCGGUCAGCACAAGUCAGUUGUGAAAUCUCCGGGCUUAACUCGGAACGGUCAACUGAUACUGUGCGACUAGAGUGCAGAAGGGGCAACUGGAAUUCUCGGUGUAGCGGUGAAAUGCGUAGAUAUCGAGAGGAACACCUGCGGCGAAGGCGGGUUGCUGGGCUGACACUGACGCUGAGGCACGAAGGCCAGGGAGCAAACGGG
rnacentral:rRNA from 1 species